AAAAUGUAAAUAGUGUGAACAUAAAACGAAAAUAUAAUAAAUCAAGGCAGAAUGUCGAUACGUUCCCUGAUCACGAAAUUCCGUAAUGAUAUUUGCUAUAAAAUCUUUCCCGUAUAUUAUCUUAAAAUAAGCGUCGUCCGCUAAUUUCCGUCUUGACAUCAUAACAAAGGAGAUAAAAGCAGUUCGUCACUAAUGCAAAUCAGAGGAUUCUCUGUCCUUGCCUCGAAAAAAAAUGAGAAAAAGAGGCAUAUAUUUUCUUCAAGUUGUCCUUCUCUCGAUGAUGGUUGACCAGUUGGGUCAGAUAAUACGUUACAUCACUGUCUCUCACGGGAUACGUGCGAAUUAUUGCAUCGUCCUCUUUCCUCGUCUUUUUUUCUUUCUUUCGCGCAGGCGCCUACGUAAGCGACGACGGCGAGCUAAAAAUACGGAAGUAACGCAGCGGGAUUACGUCGCCGAAAAUAUUGGGUACUCGUCUCAUUCGCGUGCAUCAGUGUGUGUGCAUCGAUAUAGCGCAAUUGGCAUCGAUACCUACUAGACAGCCGCCCCGUCCGCUCGCGGAAAGACCGUAACGCAACAUAACGAACGAUAUUACGGAACAUAAUUAGCAAUCCUUCGUAACUGUCUACAAGAGGCCCGAGAGGGGCCGAAGAGCGCGUUUACCGGUAGCACGUGCGCUCGUUAAAAUUUCGCCGAACAGCAAUCUGUACGCUCUAUCUACGGCGGGAAUAAUAAUUUUUCCUAACGCGACGUUCGCUCACGAUAUCGUUUAAUCGCCCAACAAUCGGUUACUCUCCGUUCGCUCGUGAAUAAUAAAAUGAAUCGGCGUUCUCUCUCUCUCUCUCUCUCUUUCUCGCUCUCCCUUCUCGUCGCCAAGCCACGGACGAUUGUGACACAAAGAGUGCUGAGAUUGCUCGCGCUUUUCGCGCAAACACACAGGAGGCGAACGAAACGAUGCGUUGCACGUAAAACAAAGCUGCCGGGUGGACGCAGCCAGUGACUCAGUUGGUCGAUGAUAAACCGCAACGCCAGUGCUCUUAUUCCCGUUGGCGGACAAUGAGACAGCAAUAAGUGAUUCAUGCCUCCGUUUUCCGUGCUUGUCGCCGGCUGUAUCACUAGAGUAUAUCACCGUGCAUUCGCAUCGUUUGCGCGGCGCCGUUCAUUGUUCGAAAUUUGAGUUAAGGCCCCGCAGGGUGUAUCGCGCGAAAACGGAGAUAUAUCUGCGUUUAUUUUUAGAUAUCUUCAAUGUCUCCCGCGUAUCUUUAGAAUUUCCAUCGUGCACGCGUGCAUAAGGCCGAACGAGACGAGAUCGAGCGGCUCUGGAUACUGCAUGGGCGCUGAAUUCUAAAUGGGCAUCGUUUCUGCAUGCCGACUGCAUGACUUUGGGCCAGUGCAGUCAUGUUUCCAGCUGUGCAUUUCUUUCCUGCUCCUGAAAAAACCGGAUAAUUCUGAAUGGCCCAUUAUAUCGUUCUCAGCGGGGCAACUAUUGAUGGAAACAUGAUUUUAGACCCAACCUUGAAAGUGCUCGAUUUCUGAUUCUUGAAUGGUCGCACUAUUAUCGGCGGUCAACAAGUCGGCUGGAUAUUCUUUGUGUCCAGCUCCUUUGCAAACUACAAAUAUGAGAAAAAACCCGGUCGAUCAAACACCUACACAGUUAAUACAUUUCAUAUGUUCCAAACGGCCCACAUAAAGUUUUGGGUUAACACAAUGAAUGCGUUGAAAAGUAACACAAAUAUUACAUAAGAAGUUAAUACAAAAUUAAUAUCCAUGAUAUGUUGAUCGACACAUCGAAGUAUAAAAUAUGUUAUUUUAACGUUGAUAUGUUUCUCUUAUUUUUGUUCUGGAACGUAAUGGCACAGUUUAGUCGUUUAAUUCGGAAAUACCUGGUAUGUAAGCAGAAUGCGAGAGAGAGAGAGAGAGAGAGAGAGGGAAAGAGAGGGCACGCGCGCUCUCAGAUAAAAUUAAAACGUUCGAAAUAGUCGGACUAUAAAUAAGAAUCGGCUCGCGAUUUAUCCGGAAAGUUUAAGAACAUUUCUUAGUGUAUAUAGUACGUAGCCAUUCCGAAAUUAGAUGCUACGUAAGAUAACGUAACAUAUAUAUAUAUUAUGGGUUGUCCCGUACCAGUAAAUAUAAGGACCAGUCCUAUAUGCGUAAUCUUAAAUUUAGGUCGAAUUGCCUGCAGAGCUUGGCGCGACUCCGACAACUUUGUCGCCGAGUCUGGAUGAUUGCACGUAAUUAUUUCUUUCUUUAAAAGUCAGAAUACAACUAUACAAACAAUGAUAUAAAAAUGUAAAAUAAAUAAAUGGAAGCAAAUUGACAGUAACGUUGUUA